rnacentral:misc_RNA from 1 species
UACGAAGGUGGCAAGCGUUAUUCGGAAUCACUGGGCAUAAAGGGCCUGCAGGCGGUUUGUAAAGUUAACAGUGAAAGCCCUCGGCUUAACUGAGGAAUUGCUGUUAAAACUGGCAAGCUAGAGUGUUGGAGGGGCGAGUGGAAUUCUUGGUGGAGCGGUGGAAUGCGUAGAUAUCAGGAGGAACGCCGGAGGCGAAAGCGACUCGCUGGACAACAACUGACGCUGAGGGGCGAAAGCUAGGGUAGCAAACGGG